AACGAACGCUGGCGGCAUGCCUAACACAUGCAAGUCGAACGAGACCUUCGGGUCUAGUGGCGCACGGGUGCGUAACGCGUGGGAACCUGCCCUUAGGUUCGGAAUAACUCCCCGUAAGGGGUGCUAAUACCGGAUAAUGUCUUCGGACCAAAGAUUUCUCGCCUUUGGAUGGGCCCGCGUUGGAUUAGUUAGUUGGUAGGGAAAAAGCCUACCAAGGCGACGAUCCAUAGCUGGUCUGAGAGGAUGACCAGCCACACUGGGACUGAGACACGGCCCAGACUCCGACGGAAGGCAGCAGUGGGGAAUAUUGGACAAUGGGCGAUAGCCUAGUCCAGCAAUGCCGCGUGAGUGAUGAAGGCCGUAGGGUUGUAAAGCUCUUUUACCCGGGAUGAUAAUGACAGUACCGGGAGAAUAAGCUCCGGCUAACUCCGUG
rnacentral:rRNA from 1 species